CAGACCAGAGUCAGAGAAGAUAAAACUACACUGAGUCAUCAGGAGAGGACAUGUCCCCUGAGUCCCCACAAAUCAGCAAUACAAAGUGUCCGGGGAUCACCCACGUAUACCCUGAUACUAAAUAUGAAUGAAACUGGUCAACUGGUUCUUGAGAUAUCACGCUAACAAGCAAAAACGGACAGAC